GACCUCGACCGGGUGUGGACGCAUGGGC
rnacentral:sRNA from 1 species